AUUGAACGCUGGCGGCAUGCCUUACACAUGCAAGUCGAACGGUAACGGGCCUUCGGGUGCCGACGAGUGGCGAACGGGUGCGUAAUACAUCGGAACGUGCCCGAUCGUGGGGGAUAACGAGGCGAAAGCUUUGCUAAUACCGCAUACGAUCUGCGGAUGAAAGCAGGGGAUCGCAAGGCCUUGCGCGGACGGAGCGGCCGAUGGCAGAUUAGGUAGUUGGUGGGAUAAAAGCUUACCAAGCCGACGAUCUGUAGCUGGUCUGAGAGGAUGAUCAGCCACACUGGGACUGAGACACGGCCCAGACUCCUACGGGAGGCAGCAGUGGGGAAUUUUGGACAAUGGGCGCAAGCCUGAUCCAGCCAUGCCGCGUGCAGGAUGAAGGCCUUCGGGUUGUAAACUGCUUUUGUACGGAACGAAAAGCCUUCUUUUAAUACAGGAGGGUCAUGACGGUACCGUAAGAAUAAGCACCGGCUAACUACGUG
rnacentral:rRNA from 1 species